GAUGAACGCUAGCGGCAGGCCUAACACAUGCAAGUCGAGGGAGAGGUUACCUUCGGGUAACCAAAACCGGCGCACGGGUGCGUAACGCGUAUACAAUCUGCCUUUCACAUAGGGAUAGCCCGAAGAAAUUUGGAUUAAUACCUAAUGGUAUAUAAGAGCGGCAUCGUUUUUAUAUUAAAGCUACGGUGGUGAAAGAUGAGUAUGCGUUCUAUUAGCUAGUUGGAGAGGUAACGGCUCCCCAAGGCGACGAUAGAUAGGGGUUCUGAGAGGGAUGUCCCCACACUGGUACUGAGAUACGGACCAGACUCCUACGGGAGGCAGCAGUGAGGAAUAUUGGACAAUGGUCGGAAGACUGAUCCAGCCAUGCCGCGUGCAGGAUGAAGGUCCUAUGGAUUGUAAACUGCUUUUGUAAGGGAAGAAUAAGGAGUACGUGUACUUUGAUGACGGUACCUUACGAAUAAGCAUCGGCUAACUCCGUGCCAGCAGCCGCGGUAAUACGGAGGAUGCGAGCGUUAUCCGGAAUCAUUGGGUUUAAAGGGUCCGUAGGCGGGCUGAUAAGUCAGAGGUGAAAGCGCUUAGCUCAACUAAGCAACUGCCUUUGAAACUGUCAGUCUUGAAUGAUUGUGAAGUAGUUGGAAUGUGUAGUGUAGCGGUGAAAUGCUUAGAUAUUACACAGAACACCGAUAGCGAAGGCAUAUUACUAACAAUUUAUUGACGCUGAUGGACGAAAGCGUGGGGAGCGAACAGG
rnacentral:rRNA from 1 species